GAUGAACGCUAGCGGCAGGCUUAAUACAUGCAAGUCGUGGGGCAGCAGGUCCCGACGCAAGUCGGGAUGCUGGCGACCGGCAAACGGGUGCGGAACACGUACACAACCUUCCUUUAAGUGGAGAAUAGCCCGGGGAAACCCGGAUUAAUACUCCGUAACAUAAUGAGGUGGCAUCACUUUGUUAUUAUAGCUCCGGCGCUUAAAGAUGGGUGUGCGACUGAUUAGGCAGUUGGCGGGGUAACGGCCCACCAAACCUACGAUCAGUAACUG
rnacentral:rRNA from 1 species